rnacentral:rRNA from 1 species
CAGUCGCCCGGUAAUACGUAGGUGGCAAGCGUUGUCCGGAAUUAUUGGGCGUAAAGGGAUCGCAGGCGGUUUCUUAAGUCCAAUGUGAAAGCCCCCGGCUCAACCGGGGAGGGUCAUUGGAAACUGGGAAACUUGAGUGCAGAAGAGGAGAGUGGAAUUCCACGUGUAGCGGUGAAAUGCGUAGAGAUGUGGAGGAACACCAGUGGCGAAGGCGACUCUCUGGUCUGUAACUGACGCCGAGGAGCGAAAGCGUGGGGAGCGAACAGGAUUAGAGACCCGUGUAGUCCAUGUCUCUUAUACA